CACACGACUCUCGGCAACGGAUAUCUCGGCUCUCGCAUCGAUGAAGAACGUAGCGAAAUGCGAUACCUGGUGUGAAUUGCAGAAUCCCGCAAACCAUCGAGUCUUUGAACGCAAGUUGCGCCCGAGGCCAUUCGGCCGAGGGCACGCCUGCCUGGGCGUCACGC
rnacentral:rRNA from 1 species